GCCAGGUGUGGUGGCUCACACCUGUAAUCCAACACUUUGGGAGGCUGAGGCGAGUGGAUCACCUGAGGUCAGGAGUUCAAGACCAGCCUGACCAACAUGGUGAAACCCUGUCUCUA
ensembl:misc_RNA Metazoa_SRP Metazoan signal recognition particle RNA